UGUGAGCUGCAAAUUGAAAAGUAGAGGUUAUUUUCCUACUGAAAAGUAGAAACAAAAAAAAAAAAGAAAAAGAAACAACGUUUCUGUUUUAGACCCUUCUCACACCUGAGGAGAGCAGAAAGGUUUUACGAUAGGCGGUGUUAAGAUCGAUUUUAGUUCUACAGCACCACCUUGUGAUCGAGGAUACUUUAUUUUAAAUUAAACCUCUUCCCGGUUUGCGCUUUGAACAAGCUAUUUCCACUGCAUGAUUCCAGCGCCAGCAUGGACGUCUGCAGCCUGUUGAUGUACUGCUCCAUCAUGUGGAAUUGGAUGAUCAGUGGAAUCUGGUUGGCCAGACGAUCAGAGGCAAUCUAGAAGUGCAAGAAAGCAAGGAUUUUCAACUUUGGAUUCUUUACGGUUCACAAACCCAGGAAGCUCCCUGCCCCUGUAUGUCCUGGAAUAUUCCUCCACCUCAUCCCGCAGGUGAUCUUCCACUAGAAACGGGAAAAACAGGAGAGCGAAGAGGAAAUAAGACAACCUGCCUGCGGAAAACCUCGCACUUAAAAUGAAGUGAAAUAAA